AAUAUGGAGAAAUCAGAGAUAUUAUUUAUUAAUACGCCACCAAAGGAACAAUUAGAGAUAAGGAAGGAAUCAGGAUUAAAAUUGGGUAUUAAAAAGAUGAAGUAUUUGGGAAUUUGGAUAUUUAAGACACUUGAUAAAAUAAUAGAUGGAAAUUAUAGAAUGGCAUGGAAGAGAAUGUUAAAACAAAUGAGUAGGUGGAAGAAUAAAAAUUUGAGACAGAUGUCUAGGAUAAGGGCAUUGAAAAUAUUGAUAAUUCCAAAAAUGAUGUAUUUAUUUCAGGCUCUCCCAGGAAUUCCUCCCAUGGCAAAAUUAAAGGAAUGGCCCUUCUAGCCAUAAAUCAGGUCUUGCUGCAAUUAACCUCUUGACUACUGGAAUGCUUACCGGAACGAAUACACACAUUUCCACAGCAACAAUGAAUUAAACAUUUCACUACAUAACACAAAAACCUUAACAAUACCCCUCCUGAAAUUUUUAAUCUCAUUGUUGACCUUAACACUCUAAGCAUUUGUCUAAAUUCUGCAGGCCAGAAUCCCAUUGGCUUUUUUAGCAGCCACAAUGUGAUGCGGCUGCUAAAAAAGCCAACGGGAUUCUGGCCUCAUCAAUAGGGGAAUAGCGUCUAGAUCCAGGGAAGUCCUGCUCCCCCUUAUUCUAUUCUGCCUUGGUCAGACCACACCUGGAAUACUGUGUCCAAUUUUGGGCACCACAGUUGAAGGGAGAUGUUGACAAGCUGGAAAGCGUCCAGAGGAGGGCGACUAAAAUGAUUAAGGGUCUGGAGAACAAGCCCUAUGAGGAGCGGCUUAAAGAGCUGGGCAUGUUUAGCCUGCAGAAGAGAAGGCUGAGAGGAGACAUGAUAGCCAUGUACAAAUACGUGAAGGGAAGUCAUAGGGAAGAGGGAGCAAGCUUGUUUUCUGCUGCCCUGCAGACUAGGACACGGAACAAUGGCUUCAAACUACAGGAAAGGAAGGAGAUUCCACCUGAACAUCAGGAAGAACUUCCUCACUGUGAGAGCUGUUCGGCAGUGGAACUCUCUCCCCCGGACUGUGGUGGAGGCUCAUUCCUUGGAGGCUUUUAAGCAGAGGCUGGAUGGCCAUCUGUCGGGGGUGCUUUGAAUGCGAUUUCCUGCUUCUUAGCAGGGGGUUGGACUAGAUGGCCCAUGUGGUCUCUUCCAACUCUACUAUUCUAUGAUUCUAUGAUUCAUAACUCAGUACUCUAUAACACACAACUCCCUAUCUCCUGGAGUUCCACAGGCUACACGUAUGCAUUACACAGUUUCUCAAUCACAUGCAAAUACAUUUGUUACAAUCACAAUUCUUCUGCCAACGCAUCUUUAUUUUUACAGUCAUUUUUGCAUUUCUUCACAAUGAACACACAUUAGGGUUGUUGUAUGUAUGGCCAUGG
rnacentral:lncRNA from 11 species